AUUGAACGCUGGCGGCAUGCUUUACACAUGCAAGUCGGACGGCAGCACAGAGACGCUUGCUUCUUGGGUGGCGAGUGGCGAACGGGUGAGUCACAUAUCGGAACGUACCGAGCAGUGGGGGAUAACUAAUCGAAAGAUUAGCUAAUACCGCAUAUCUUCUGAGGAAGAAAGCAGGGGACCAUUUGGCCUUGCGCUGUUUGAGCGGCCGAUAUCUGAUUAGCUAGUUGGUGGGGUAAAGGCCUACCAAGGCGACGAUCAGUAGCGGGUCUGAGAGGAUGAUCCGCCACACUGGGACUGAGACACGGCCCAGACUCCUACGGGAGGCAGCAGUGGGGAAUUUUGGACAAUGGGCGCAAGCCUGAUCCAGCCAUGCCGCGUGUCUGAAGAAGGCCUUCGGGUUGUAAAGGACUUUUGUCAGGGAAGAAAAGGGCGGGGUUAAUACCCCUGUCUGAUGACGGUACCUGAAGAAUAAGCACCGGCUAACUACGUG
rnacentral:rRNA from 1 species